AAAAAAAACAACCAAAACAAGGCUUUAAUAGCUCAUAUCCGCACGAUCGAUCUGUUCGAAAUUACUUUUUUUGUUGUCCUGCGGUGGCCCUUGGCGCGCCGGUUCGCAAUCUCGCCACUCCAAAAGUUGCAAAGGAAACAACAGUGUAAUUUCGAGCAUAUAGCGAUUAAUGGCACGCUCGCUUUCACAGCCCUCGCGGUGUAACGGCGAGGUAAAAGCGGAGAAAGCAAACGUCGGACGCGGACGCCUGAAUCCACGCACACCACUCGCAUUUCCGUUGCGUAGCUGGAGGGAUUUACGGGGACUUAAUUCCUUAAAACUGUCCUCUCGUCCACAUGACGCUCGAAACCGCGAGUGCUCAAGCUGAUAUACCCAAAUGUAUCAAGAGAUGAGUGCAUCGCAUUGCCACGGGGCUAGAUUAGGGCCUUUUAUAAGACACGUAGAAUACACGUGAAACCAGUGUGGAGUGGCGCGACGAGGAGGUGAAUUAGGUGGCUUUAAAAAUGUUAAAAACAACAUGUUGCCAAUACCCACUCCGAGACACGUCUAUCGGGAUUCUUCUUGUGUGGGAGGAAAGCCGACUGUAUCGUAACAGCUUUAAGUGUAUACAUUUUAAGAUAUCCCGAGAAGAGGAGAAGCUGACAAGCGCCCGGGUGACUCGACACGCACGGACAAAUGAACAACGAUGCAGAAAAAAAAAAAAAAAAACUUUACACUUCAAGACAGGAUGGAAAGCUUCAGUUAUGCACCUGCUAUUGUGGAAUGUCCUGGAGAUGAUGACAGCCACCAUUAUCCUGGUCCAAAUGUUUUGCAAAGCACUGGUGGGCAAAUGCAAAGUGGACAUCAUCUGAUGUUAUCUUAUGCGAAUGUUUGGAGGAGCACAGUAGGAAAGGAUCGUUUCUUCACAGUUUUAUUAACAACUGAAGAUUAGAACAUCUUUAGUGGCUUUUCAAUUACGACACCAUGUUGCACUUACUCCGAAACCGUUGGAUUGAUAAGAACAAAACGACUCUGUUGAUCAUUUAAAUGAAUGUUUGACUUGACUGUAUCUUCCGGUGGUAAAUACAUGGUGAUCGUUUCUGUUCUUGAUAAGGUUUUGAGUUCAGAUGAAAUCCCUAGACGUGGACAUAAUUUAGCGUGAUGCAUUACAGAUGAGCCUGCCUUAAUAUUCUCCCAAAUGUUUCUCUGAUUUGACAUAAUUGUGAUAAUUGUUUAAAUGCGAUAGCAGUCGAUUUUUGAUGAGAGGAACGCUUGAACGUGAAGGUAUAUUUGCACGAAGUAAUUACUGUGAAUAAAAGAGCUCGUUUGAUCUUUA